rnacentral:rRNA from 1 species
GACAGCAGUAGCCGCGGUAAUACGAAGGGUGCAAGCGUUAAUCGGAAUUACUGGGCGUAAAGCGUGCGUAGGCGGUGAGUUAAGUCUGCUGUGAAAUCCCCGGGCUCAACCUGGGAAUUGCAGUGGAUACUGGGUCACUAGAGUGUGGUAGAGGAUAGUGGAAUUUCCGGUGUAGCAGUGAAAUGCGUAGAGAUCGGAAGGAACAUCUGUGGCGAAGGCGACUAUCUGGGCCAACACUGACACUGAGGCACGAAAGCGUGGGGAGCAAACAGGAUUAGAUACCCGCGUAGUCCCUGUCUCUUAUAC